GCCGUCCUAGCUCAGGGGUAGAGCACCUCCAUGGUAAGGAGGGGGUCACGGGUUCAAAUCCCGUGGACGGCUCCA
rnacentral:tRNA from 1 species